GCUCAGGACGAACGCUGGCGGCGUGCCUAAUACAUGCAAGUCGAGCGGACAGAUGGGAGCUUGCUCCCUGAAGUCAGCGGCGGACGGGUGAGUAACACGUGGGCAACCUGCCUGUAAGACUGGGAUAACUCCGGGAAACCGGGGCUAAUACCGGAUAAUUCUUUCCCUCACAUGAGGGGAAGCUGAAAGAUGGUUUCGGCUAUCACUUACAGAUGGGCCCGCGGCGCAUUAGCUAGUUGGUGAGGUAACGGCUCACCAAGGCGACGAUGCGUAGCCGACCUGAGAGGGUGAUCGGCCACACUGGGACUGAGACACGGCCCAGACUCCUACGGGAGGCAGCAGUAGGGAAUCUUCCGCAAUGGACGAAAGUCUGACGGAGCAACGCCGCGUGAGUGAUGAAGGUUUUCGGAUCGUAAAACUCUGUUGUUAGGGAAGAACAAGUACCGGAGUAACUGCCGGUACCUUGACGGUACCUAACCAGAAAGCCACGGCUAACUACGUGCCAGCAGCCGCGGUAAUACGUAGGUGGCAAGCGUUGUCCGGAAUUAUUGGGCGUAAAGCGCGCGCAGGCGGUUCCUUAAGUCUGAUGUGAAAGCCCCCGGCUCAACCGGGGAGGGUCAUUGGAAACUGGGGAACUUGAGUGCAGAAGAGAAGAGUGGAAUUCCACGUGUAGCGGUGAAAUGCGUAGAGAUGUGGAGGAACACCAGUGGCGAAGGCGACUCUUUGGUCUGUAACUGACGCUGAGGCGCGAAAGCGUGGGGAGCAAACAGGAUUAGAUACCCUGGUAGUCCACGCCGUAAACGAUGAGUGCUAAGUGUUAGAGGGUUUCCGCCCUUUAGUGCUGCAGCAAACGCAUUAAGCACUCCGCCUGGGGAGUACGGCCGCAA
rnacentral:rRNA from 2 species